AGAGUUUGAUCCUGGCUCAGGACGAACGCUGGCGGCGUGCUUAACACAUGCAAGUCGAACGAGGCCCUCUCUUCGGAGGGGUGACCUAGUGGCGAACGGGUGAGUAACACGUGGGCAACCUGCCCUCAGCUCUGGGAUAACUCCAAGAAAUUGGGGCUAAUACCGGAUAUGACUGCUGACCGCAUGGUCUGGUGGUGGAAAGAUUUAUCGGCUGGGGAUGGGCCCGCGGCCUAUCAGCUUGUUGGUGGGGUAGUGGCCUACCAAGGCGACGACGGGUAGCCGGCCUGAGAGGGUGACCGGCCACACUGGGACUGAGACACGGCCCAGACUCCUACGGGAGGCAGCAGUGGGGAAUAUUGCGCAAUGGGCGGAAGCCUGACGCAGCGACGCCGCGUGGGGGAUGACGGCCUUCGGGUUGUAAACCUCUUUCAGUAGGGACGAAGCGAGAGUGACGGUACCUACAGAAGAAGCACCGGCCAACUACGUGCCAGCCGCCGCGGUAAUAC
rnacentral:rRNA from 1 species